CACGGAGGUUAAUCGCUGCGAGCAUUUUGUUUUCACAGACUAACCUCACAUCACAACAAGGCCGUGACCUCCUAUUAGCUUAGAGCUAUGUCUGCAAGUCAAGAUUUACAUGAUGCUGAUAAUGACGCCAUUGUGUCUGUAUGGAAGACAUUACGCAGGACAAUAAACAACCAGAUCUUGCAUCGCAGGAGGAAGCUGUCAGGAGUUCAGCCCAGAGUCAACGAGAACAAAGAGGGUCAGUGGGGAUUCCAGUAUCUCAAUGAUGAUACAAAUCAUCUGGUAAUUUUCCCAGAAGGCACUGGGCAUUUCCUUCCAGCAAAUCUUGUGAGCCAUGCAUACUAUGAGGUGCACAAACCUCUGUCGCUGUACCUUUCAGUUUAAGGCAGCUAUCCUCCUCCUCCUCUCCAUCACCCAGUCCGUCCUAUAUACCUCCACGACCAUGAUUGUAUGAGCGAAUCUUACAAAGGUCAGUAUACUUUGCUGAAGUUGUCACCAACCGGCUGACAACCUCUCGCACAAAAGUGAUUGGAUUCACAGAGGCCGAGGGCACAGUCGAAGGCAUCUCAACCAAAGUGAAAGAUGGCCUUGGCACUGACAAUCUACUCACCCUUACUGACUCUCAGGGGAAUGAGAUUUUAGAUUCAGAAGGCACAAGAUGUCAGUAAUGUCACUAACACCUGUUUGCAGUUUAUGAUUCUGAAUUAAGAUUAAUGCUAAUUUUGAAAUACUGAAGUAAACUAAAUGUUUUCUGACUUGAUGGGCGAGGACUUCCAGGCGUUCAGGUCAGGGAGAUGAUCAAGAGCUCGUUCAUGAGCACAGCACCCACAAUCAGUUAAUGAGUCAUUUCCCUUUUUUGUUUUCCAAUUUUAAAACAAAUAACGGGAUACGGGAAGUCCUUUCCCAUUUUUUUUUUACUUCAAAACAGAAAUUGUAUGGCUGCAGAGUACACAGACAGCACCUGCCUUGUAUCUCAUGAGUAUCGCAUACCUACAAGUAGGGACAUCAGGAGUGAUCUCUUCAAGGUUUAAUGGAAAUAGGAAGUUCCAUUCAUUGAACAACCCAAAAGUGCAAGACAAAAUUCACUUUUCUUUCUGUGCUAACGCUAAUUACAGGCUGGACACACUGGAUACUUGUGUGCUGCAUGGCAGCUGCAAUGCUGUGCUGCUGCGCCUCACUUACAUGUUUUUGUUCACAUAGGUUGCUGAACAAUGUUUAUUUCCUUUAACAGUUUAGUGUCAUCCAUGACACAGCCUGCAGCAUUUACUCCACAUUAGCAUCACGUAUGAGCUGAGUGCAGAAAAAAGAUGAGCAGCUUUUCUGAGGCUGCUGGAAAGCACUCGGGGAUAUCCAUCCAUAAUGAAUGGAGUGGAAGCACAGUCACUCAACCACCAUCCUCAUCUCUCAGGAGACGCUGACUGUCUCAUAACAGGGGAGCAGGGAUGAUGUGCGUUCUCAGAUUAUCAUAUUUCUUUCCUUGUCCUCUCUGCACUGCUUUUCAUCGUCAUCUUAGGACCCCCUAAUGACCUCUGGAAAGGUCUGUAUUCCCUGUGUGUGGGAGUGAGUGGGGGGAUCAGUUUGUUUGUAUCUGCAUAAUUCUGAUGGAUAAUCAGUUGUCUUUCCUCACUUAGGCCCUGAUAUAACACGUGUGAGCAUUUCACCAAGUGAAUACUGUUAUAUUUAAUACUGCUGUAUUGAAUACUUUUUAAUCAGUACAGAGAAGAACAUGAAAUAAGCUUGGUAUCAGAAGGGAAAUUUGCUUAUUUUAUCUUAGUGUGUCACAACAAGAGGCAACCAGUGCAACAUCUGGAGCUUCUUUUUAACUCCUGCAUACUCACAGACAGUGUUGGGGAGAAUUUAACUACAUGUAGUUAACUACAUAGCUUAACUACAAUUUGCUGUAAUUUGCUGGUAGUUAAACUACAUUCAUAUUUUGUGCUGCAUCAAGUAAUUCAUAGUGAUGUUACCUGUGACACCUCUGCUUCGGAGCUUGUAUUGAAAAAAUGAACCGGUCUAAAGCAAAACUUGUAUCGUAGCUUCAUUCAUUCUGUGACGAUCACAUGAUCAAUCACGCACACCAACGUGACCGCUUCGAAAAACGAUUCAAAGCCGCAUGAAAUCGUAGCUUCAUUCAUUCUGUGACGAUCACGUGAUCAAUCACGCACACCAACGUGACCGCUUCGAAAAAUGAUUCAAAGCCGCAUGAAACGGUUUGCACACUUGUGGGUUGUCAAGUUGGAGUCGAGACAAGUUUAGAGAGAAAGUUCAGUUCAUUGAGAAAGCUGAAUGAGUAAAGCCAGUGAAUCAUUGUUGUUUGUGGUUGAUACAAUGCAGCCUGUUGCCAAGUAUCAACCACAAACAACAACAGGGCGGUCCGAGAUGUGGGAACAUUUCAAUCUGGUUACUCCGAACAAAGUUAUUUGAUUUCACUAUAAUAAUUUGUUAGUUGUAAAGUAAUGUAAAUAGCCAAACACAGUCACCAACCACAAUAAUGCCCCCUUUCUGACCUGUCCACAAGCACCACCCCUCCCUCUUAACACUGCAAAGUACCUGUCCACCUGUCUCCCAGAUCAGGCUUUGUUCUAUUUGCACUGUCAAAGCUCUUCCCACUACAUUUAAGUCACUAUCAUUUCUAUAAUUUCUGCACUGGCAGUGGCAGAUUGUUGAAAUGUACGGCGCUGCCUAUCUCACAUAUUUUGUGAGAAUUAUCAUAGAAAUGUGUGCAAAUGUUCAUACCCACCCUUCACUGAUCUCAGAUUCAUCUACCUCCCCAAUGAACAAACACAAGAAAUGUUCACAUGCAGAAUACCAACUUUAUUAUUUUUAAUAAGAUUUUGUGAAGAAGGCAAUGAUUUUCUUGUUUCAAUUAACGCACUGCCCAGUGUACGCUUAUUUAUUUAGUAAUUGAUUUAAUUCAUACCGAACACCCAAAGAAAGAAUACGGUAGUUAAUCAGUGUGGAUGUGAAUUCAUAGCAUAGUGCCUUCUUUAACUUUCACCAGCAGAUGUCGCCGUAGAGUCUGAAGCUUCAAGCAUUGAAUCAUUUUUCAAUACAAUUGGAUUGAAGGUUUCCUUGGUUCAUGAGGCUUCAUUUUGCCAUCACUAGUAAUUCAACUACUGUUUGGGUCAUUUUUGUAGUUUAACUACUCUAUUUACAAACUACAAUUUUGGCAAAUAACAUGACAUUUUUUUUUUAUAAAAAAUGAUCUAUAUAAUAUACAUUUUUAAACUGCCACUGGUUGGCUUGCCCUGGCAGCACUCAAUAGCUUCCCAGAGGGUGGGUCUUUGUGCCAAGGAAGGCAGUGCUCAUAAGGACAACCCUCCUGCUACCCCUGAUGUGCCCUUGAACGUGCCAGCCCAACCACGGCCAUAUUUGAGCAUGCACAUGUUGGAUAUAGAUGCAUCUACAGACACGACCUACGUGUUCACAUGUGAGCCCUGCAACAAUAAUUUUGUUUUUUUUUCUACUUUUUCUUCUUGAGUUGAG